GCAUCUUAAUAGGCAAAUGGAAAUGAGAAAGACAGGUUCUGCACUUCUGUAGAAAUUUAAUCUAACCCACAACCACUCACAGGCUUUUCAUUGAUAGGAGAGCCUCACCAGAGAUUUUAAAAGGAACCAAAUAUGAGAUUGAUAAUAAGCCUUCCCCCACCUUGUGUUCACCUAAUUCUUGAGUAGAAAAAAAAAUCCUGUAAGUAGAUCUAGCAUUGGUUGAAACGUAUGCAUCUUAGGAAGGUCUGUUUGAAGAUUUCUCUGACAUUAUGCAAGGUUGGCCUGUCUGCCAAGUUUCUCCAUUGCUGAUAGAGAGCAUGAAGCCGCUGAUACUGCAGAGGAUUCAAGGAAGAGGAAGGUCCUGUUCUUUCCUGCUUCCAGCUUCCUGCCAGGACUUCCUUUAAUGAUGGACUGUAACCUGAAGCUCAAACCCCAAAUGACAUUCCUGCUCUGUUGCUUGUACCCUGGACUGCUCACCGCCUGAGCCUACCUGCCCUUGUGGGGUUGGAGGUGAGGUGUCACAAAGUCAUCAACACAGACUCUGGAAGCAGAUUUAUUGCCUUGUUUGAGGAAAAAAAAUACUAUACAUCUCUCAGAACGAAAGUUCACUGGACAGUAACUCUUAAAGAUGUCAGGAAGCUCUAAUUAAAUACUGGCCAGGUGGAAGAACUCUGGCCUGGUCCACACCCAGGUUCUCGGGAAAUGGUCGUUCCUUGCAGAAGCUUUAAAAAGCAACCACAAGGCCACUGUAUCUCCAAUCAAGUCUAAUCAGGGGCAACCAUAUAUCCUGACAUAGUUUCUGCCUACAUAUGUUCCAAUCAUGGGCAAGUGUACAAACUGAUAUAGUUCCUGCCGACGUAUCUCCUGCCCACGUGUGAUCAAACACAUCUGGUGCAGAUGGCUCAAACAAACAUAGGACGAACAGGAACUUCUUAACUACAAACAGAGCUCUUAACCGGCAAGAGAAGACUCCUGGAAGGAACUGCCCAGCUGAGGACUACACCUUCUUUUUGUUUUGGUACAGAGAGAGACCAGCUGACUGGUUUUCAGAAUGAAAAUGGAGAACUGAUGUCCUUAGAGAAACAGCAAGGGAGAUCAAUGUUGCACCUGACUAAGAGUUACAAAAGGUGGAUUCAGAGAUGAAAUAACCAGAGACUGAGAUGGGAAUUCGAUGGACUCUACAGUUUAGAGGAGUCUAGCUGGCAGCCCAAAGAGGUGACUGAGAACUGGCUGUGUAAGAACAGCAGAGCUUCCUGGGAGAAACAGGCUUCAUUUUUCCUGCUUUAAAAAAAAAUAUGCGAGAACUCCAAUGUUCUGGCAAAAUUAAGGAAACCUGCAAUCGGUUGCUUGGGAAAAAGAAACCCAGCAAACCUGUCUGUAGUAAAUUACAUAUGGGGACAAAGCCCCACUGCCUCCCGAGGCUGCCUCCCUCCCUGCUGCCAUCCUUAAGGUAAUGUCUUCAGACUGCACAAGCUGCAUUUCAGAGACCUGCAGUCCAAACUUGACACCUAAGAACUGUGUCCCUUUAAGUAAGUCUCAUGGCUUUUUGUCUGAGUUUCAUGAUAUUAUUUGUAACAUGACAUUAAAUCUGUUUCUUCAUAGUGAUAUGAGAAAUAAACACACUUUCAUCA